GACGUAGGGCGCAAGCGUUGUCCGGAUUUAUUGGGCGUAAAGAGCGUGUAGGCGGUCCGGUAAGUCGGCUGUGAAAGUCCAGGGCUCAACCCUGGGAUGCCGGUCGAUACUGCCGGACUAGAGUUCGGAAGAGGCGAGUGGAAUUCCCCGGUGUAGCGGUGAAAUGCGCAGAUAUCGGGGAGGAACACCUAUGGCGAAGGCAGCUCGCUGGGACGUUACUGACGCUGAGACGCGAAAGCGUGGGGGAGCAAACAGG
rnacentral:rRNA from 1 species